ensembl:snoRNA small nucleolar RNA SNORD35
UGCAAAUGAUGUUUUUUCUCACGAUGGUCUUCCAAGCCUUCGGGUUCUGACGACAUCGCCUUUUGGCAAAACUGAUGCAGGAAA